rnacentral:rRNA from 1 species
CCUACGGGAGGCAGCAGUAAGGAAUAUUGGUCAAUGGGCGCAAGCCUGAACCAGCCAUGCCGCGUGCAGGAUGACUGCCCUAUGGGUUGUAAACUGCUUUUGUACGGGAAGAAACCCUGAUACGUGUAUCAGGUUGACGGUACCGUAAGAAUAAGGACCGGCUAACUUCGUGCCAGCAGCCGCGGUAAUACGAAGGGUCCAAGCGUUAUCCGGAUUUAUUGGGUUUAAAGGGUGCGUAGGCGGCUUAUUAAGUCAGUGGUGAAAGCCCAGAGCUCAACUCUGGAACUGCCAUUGAUACUGGUGAGCUUGAAUAUAGUUGAGGUAGGCGGAAUAUGACAUGUAGCGGUGAAAUGCUUAGAUAUGUCAUAGAACACCGAUUGCGAAGGCAGCUUGCUAAACUAUUAUUGACGCUGAGGCACUAAAGCGUGGGGAUCAAACAGGAUUAGAUACCCUGGUAGUCCACGCCCUAAACGUUGAUAACUCGUUAUGUUGUCGAUAUACAGUACGUAGUACUAAGACGAAACGACAUUAAGUUUAAUUACCUACCCUACGGGUAAGGUAACGGGUUCGGCGAAGAGUUAGUAAACGUACGAAAGGAAAGUUAGUACGGCGUGAGACGUAGACCGAACGGACGACCGACCGAGGGGAGGGUUAGGGAG